rnacentral:pre_miRNA from 1 species
CAACGUUACUUUGACUUUAAGCGAGGCUUAAAACUCUCUCUGUUUCAUUUUAAAGCGAAAAAGAGACAGAAGCAGAGAGAGUUUUAAACCUUGCUCAAAGUAACGUUGGUGC